AUGGGUUUAUGGCCUCAAUAGCAAGAAGUUUGCAGUGGCAGCGGCAGGGUGGCUCAGCUGCUCCGUGAGAUUGCGAAGGCCUCAGUUCCCUCUUCUCAGGAGCCUCCCCACCUGUCUGCCAAUCAGACUUCACCGUGUGCCUUACUGGUCCAAGCUGGCCUCCAUAGCUAUACCUAGUUGCAAGGGAACGUGUGAAAUCUCGUAUCUGGUAUAGGGAACGGCAUUGUCAAGACUAGCUCAGCCAAGUCGUGAUUCAUUGCUUGGGGCUGGGGCGGUCACCUAAAACUUCAGUGUUUAAGCUCUCAGCAACACACAAGGUCUGAAGACAAAACAAAAUGGCACAGUAUCAAGAAGUAUAAAACCAGCUGAUGGGUAUAGAGGCAUUUGUUGAGAGUGUGUCCUCUUCUCUAAAUGCAUGAAAUAUCUCCCAAUUAAAAACUAUAAAAAAGUUAUAAUCUCAAGUUGACAAUGAAGAGUGGGUCUUCUUCAUUUACUGGGUAACCACAUGCGCAGUAAGUGCUGGCUGUAUGCUGGCACGCCUCUGGACACCACGAGCAAGACCCACAGAGUCACUGCCCUUGUGGAGACGCCGUGCUUGUCAGGACAGACCAGAGUCAGACACGGCCAUCGCAGCAAGUGUCACCAGCUCUAAAGAAGUAAAGAGAGGAAUGUAACAGUGACCCAGAAGAUGCUGUUCCUCAUAAGGCAGACUGAGACCUGAGGAGUAAAAAGUCGUUCAAAGAGUAAAGAGAAGAGGAGUCUAUGAAGAGCUAUCAGAAAAUGCACAGGCCCUGAAGCCUGACAACACUCUGGGAACCGAGACGUCACCGUUGCUGAGGCUCGGUGAGCAGGCGGGGUGAGACUGGGUCCGAAAGGCGUGGGUGAGGCUCUGUGGUCUCGGCGAGUAGCGUAGAUUGUAUUUGAAGUGCACAGAGCAGCCAAGGGAUGGAGGGCUGAAGGAGAGGGUUCAAGAGGACAAGAUGACCCAGUGCAACCUUAUAUUAUCAUCAGUUUCUAACAGCACUCUGAUUGCUAAAUGG
rnacentral:lncRNA from 1 species